ACCUGGCGGCUGCUUACAAUGCAAGUCGCACGAUGAUCCCAGCUUGCUGGGGGAUUAGUGGCGAACGGGUGAGUAACACGUGAGUAACCUGCCCUUAACUCUGGGAUAAGCCUGGGAAACUGGGUCUAAUACCGGAUAUGACUCCUCAUCGCAUGGUGGGGGGUGGAAAGCUUUAUUGUGGUUUUGGAUGGACUCGCGGCCUAUCAGCUUGUUGGUGAGGUAAUGGCUCACCAAGGCGACGACGGGUAGCCGGCCUGAGAGGGUGACCGGCCACACUGGGACUGAGACACGGCCCAGACUCCUACGGGAGGCAGCAGUGGGGAAUAUUGCACAAUGGGCGCAAGCCUGAUGCAGCGACGCCGCGUGAGGGAUGACGGCCUUCGGGUUGUAAACCUCUUUCAGUAGGGAAGAAGCGAAAGUGACGGUACCUGCAGAAGAAGCGCCGGCUAACUACGUGCCAGCAGCCGCGGUAAU
rnacentral:rRNA from 1 species